rnacentral:lncRNA from 1 species
GAGUGCAUAAAGAAAAGGCCACGUGAGGACACAGCAAGAAAGUGGUCAUCUGCAAGCGCAAAAGACAGGCCUCAGAAGAACCCAACCCUAUUGACACUAUGAUCUUGGACAUCCAGCCUCCAGAACUCCGUUAACAAACCAUCUGUAUGCCUAAUAUUGAUGCUGUCUUUCCCUAGUGUACUGGACAACCUAAGACAGGGAAAUAAAGAUAAAGUUUGGAUUGAAGAGUGAGUUUCAGGUAUAAAGAAAUUUGUAAUAGAAUUUUUCCUUCAAAAAGAAAAGCUGGAUUUUGCAAGGCCUAUAAGAGGCUGUCAGUUACCACCUAAGGAGCCAAAAUAAUGCAGCUUCACAUCUCCUUAAUGGACAGAAGACUACACUGUUUUUGCUGCACCCAGAGAUAAAAUUAUUGGUUUUGGAGUACCUUCACUGAUGCCAGUAGAAGCAUUUGAGUUCUGCAGAAAUUACUGAAGUGGUUCAAGUGUGGGCAGUCAGGACACUCAGCCCACCAUACUCAACCCCAACUCAACCUCAACUCUCAGUACGGCAGAGAGACGGAGAACUCAGAGCUAUAACUUUCAGGAAUUCUCAAAACCUCAGACAAAAUGCAUCUUUGUUUUACCACCUGUUAAAGUAUAUCCUCAUCUGCCUCAGUGCACAUAAGUAUACAACACUGCAGAUUGUG